UUGGAGGGCAAGUCUGGUGCCAGCAGCCGCGGUAAUUCCAGCUCCAAUAGCGUAUAUUAAAGUUGUUGCAGUUAAAAAGCUCGUAGUUGAAUUUCGGAGUUUGUCGGUUGGUCGGGCUUCACUGUCCGCACUGGCCUGAUGAAUUCCUACCUUCUGAAUAACCAGCAUGCUAUUAAGUUAGUGCGUUGGGGAAGCAGAGCUAUUACCUUGAAAAAAUUAGAGUGCUUAAAGCAGGCUUAUGCUUGAAUAGAUUAGCAUGGAAUAAUAAAAUAGGACGGCAUGGUUCUAUUUUGUUGGUUUCUAGGAUCACCGUAAUGAUUAAUAGGGAUAGUUGGGGGCAUUAGUAUUCAAUUGUCAGAGGUGAAAUUCUUGGAUUUAUUGAAGACUAACUUCUGCGAAAGCAUUUGCCAAGGAUGUUUUCAUUAAUCAAGAACGAAAGUUAGGGGAUCGAAGACGAUCAGAUACCGUCGUAGUCUUAACCAUAAACUAUGCCGACUAGGGAUCGGACGA
rnacentral:rRNA from 1 species